AAACAGCACAGGUGGACACUUUCAGCCCACUGAAGGAGAUGAGGACAGUUUGGAAAGAAGUAGGAACCAAAACUCCAGCAGCCAGGGAAGGCCUGGAGAGUGCAGCAUCCAAGCCCAAUUCACACAGCUAAUGGUGGCCUCUUCACUGUGUCGGGCCCCCCGCAGGGACCUCUAGUGUCACUCAGCCCUGGCCAGGGCCCCACCAGUCCUUGUGGCCUGAAUGCGCCCCCUGGCUGCAGCUGCCGCGUGAUGAUUGCUGUGAACCCUCAGCUACUGCCUGCCUAUGGAAUGGACGAGCUGUGGACUUAGUCUGCAUAAGACUUUGAACCUAGCUGAAUCGUCUGGCUUGAGGAUUGUCAUAAUUUUAUUGCUGUUGCUAUUGUUAUGUCAUUAGUCUGAUCACAAUCUCCAGUUUUUUUGCCCAGGGACCAUUUGCGGGAACGAGUAGAUUGUAAAGCGAGAUUUCUGGAGGGGUGGCCUAUGGGUAAAAUUUUAACAUUUCCAGAUUAUCUCAUCUGGUUUUGGUACAUUUGCAUAUCCUCAGGGGUGGAGAGUUCAUCUCCAUGUCAGUGGGUAAUUACCUGGGCAACCGAGGGCGUGUCUGAACCUGCGAGUUUAAAGGGAGCGGCUGGCUUGCUUGCUUUCUUCUUCUGGAGCAGAGGAGAGAGACAACCCUGGACUGCAGUUUGUAAGCAAUAAAUGGGUUUUAAACUUUAUUUCUCCCUUUGACUGAUUUCUGUUUUUAGAAGUAUUUUGCCCCGAGAUUUCCUCUCCCCGAACUUACACCCUCUCUCUCUCUCUCUUUUUCUUUCUUUCAACUAAUAUUUAUUGGCUGCUGACAGUAUGCCAAGUACUGUGUUAGGUAGUCCACAGGACUCCAAAGAUGGUCAAGCCUUGGCCCUGGCCUUGGAGAACAGGGAUCUUAGGAGAGAGAUAGACAUGCGGAACGUUUUAGCAGAGAUCUCUGUAAAGUGCCAGACAAACUGGUGGCAAGUUCUUCCAAGGAUCAUCAAAGAUGUGAGUUAUUAGAUGUGUGAACUUGAACAAAUGACUAAACCUCUUGAACUUUCAGUUUCCCCAUCUACAAAAUAGGGAAGUUACCCUGCUCAUAGGCUGGCUGUGAUGAUUCGAUGAAUUUUGUAGGUCAAAUGCCUAGCAUGGUGCUUGCCAUAUGGAAAGCGCUCAAUAUAUGAGAGAGGUUGCUUUUGUUGAUAUCAUUAACCUCGUGCAUAGAUCUUGAAAUACAUAAGCCUACCACGUAUAAAAGAUGAGGAAGAGUUUGUGAUGUGGCUGAACCAGGGACAGGCUGAGAAGGAAUGAGGGCAGACUGGGAGACUUUUGGGUCACACAGCAAGAGGCCUUCUCUUAUAUGUAUGUUAAGUAUUGGGGCUUGAUCUAGUUAGCAGAGGAACUUUUUAUUUCUUGGGACUUUCUCUUCUUUCCCUCUCUCUCUCUUAAAAUGUGGUAAAUUACACAUAACACAAGAUUACCAUCUUGACCAUUUUUCACUGUACAGUUCAGCUGCAUUAAAAUUUGCAGUGUUGUUCAUCUCCUGAUCCAGAACCCUUUAUCUUGCAAAACUGAAACUCUGACCCCAUUAAAUAAUAAGCCUUUUAUGCCUUCCCUCCAUAUCUGUGUUUUGGAGCGCUCUUUCCUUGUUCUUAUCUCUGCAAAGACCCCUUUUGCUGGGAACCCAAACAGCUGAGUCCCUGGGAUUUGGUAGGGAGGAGGAUAAAAGCACAAACCCCUGCAUAUGGAGAGGGCUGUGGGGCCUCUUGUGCCCAUCCUCCUUCCAGGAGAUGCUGGGGGGAGGGCUGGAUGCCACAAAGAGGUUGGAGGUUUGUAAUGGCCCUUUCCUCCGCACCAUUUCCUUAGCUCAUUAUCCUGUGAACACCAAUGCUGCAUUUAGAGUGUGCUCCCUCCUCCCUACCCUCAAGCUGAUCCUCACCUACAGGAGAAGAAGGCAUGGGUGGAAGCGACAGGCAUCUCAGCCUUACUCCAGAACCCCCCAAGUGCACAGAAGACAGUUGUUCUUUCUUUUCUUGACCAGCAGUCUGGGGGCGACCCCUAGACCUAUGUUUGCCAAGCUGUGUGUGUUGAAGGUAGC